CAGGGAGUCAGGGGCAAGACAAAAAGGCCUUGAACAUAAAAUUAAUGAGAACUUUUCCUAGUGCAAUCAGGCAUUCCAACCAGUGCCACAUCACUGCAGGUUACUUACUUUAUCUUUACAUACCUCAUAAGAAGAUAUAACUGUGUACAAAGUACACAGUACAAAGAGGGAUCUUCUCAAUCUGACAUGCAUACUCUGUUUACUAGGGAAGAUGCAUGUAGAACACACUUUUAAAGACUUCCAAUUUUUUAUAGAGAUAAAAUAUAAAGAUUUCAAAAUACAAUGGGUUAGCCUUUAGCUAUUGGAUUCUCACUCAUUCUUUAGUAAGGGCAGAUUAACAUAGCUAUUGUUAUAAAUUCAGUGAUCAGUGUAAUCAUUUCUACAUUUAAUAUUAAUACAUUUUCAUAAUUGGUUAUAUCAAAAGAUUGUCAAGCCACAUACUUUAAAAUGGUACUGGAAAAAUGGCAUGGGAUUUGAUAGCAGAAUCCAGCUCAUUGUCUGCAUGUGUAACUACUAGAAUGCAAGCUCCAGGAGGGUAGAAACUAUGUUUACUACUAUGUCCUCUGACACACUGUAGAAGCUCAGGGAUGCUAUGUAUGCCUCUGUGGCUUUGCACUGCACACUGCAGGAUAAAUGGAAGCCUCCAGAAUUGCACAGUAUACAACCUGCACAACCGUAUGCUGCAGACUUCUAGAUAUUGUUCAGUACACAACCUGUAAAACUAUAUGCUGCAAACUUCUAGAUAUUAGACAUCACACACACACACACAACUCAUUGAAUAAAUCAUCACAUUUCAUACAACUGUAAAAAAAUCAUUUGAUUCUCAAACUAUUAAUGAAGCAUCUAAAACAUUUUGACCCCGUGCUAAUGUUACAAAAGUGUAAACUUCCUGAGGACAAGGACCAUAUUUUAUUAGUCUUUAUACUCCUGGAUUUAUUGGUCCUUCUAAUCUUGAGUUUUCGUGAGUGUUCAAUGAAUGAAUAAGGAGAUUGGCGUUUCUGUAGUUCUAAACAUAGCUGUAUAUGAGAGUGAACUAGAGGUAACUGGAGUUGUCUGAAGUAGUUACUAAGGGAACUCAGUUACUCCAUUAUUGGAGUUGAUUGGUGUGACCUUUUCUCUCUUGUCGGUGCCUCAAUCUGAACUUGUCAAGGGCAAAUCUUCCAAAUAUGUGCUGCUUAUUUGAAGAGAAUAACGUACUCUGAUAGAAAAGGACCAUUUUUGGCCAAGAGCAUAUGACUAUCUAUACUUUCUUGCAAGUAUUUCCACACAAGUUCUCGAAGUCCAUUUGUAGGAGAACAUAAAGCAUAUGUGCUUUUGAUUUUCACCGUCAUUUCCUGCUAAAUUUCUCUACCCUGGCACACUGGAGAUUAUUUGAAAUUGUACUAUCACCAAUGACGGAGCCAAAACAACAAUUAGAGAUAUAAAAUGUAGCCAAAAAAAAAAAAAAAAAAAAAAGAAAUGUCAAGACUUGAGGUCAAAUUACCGAUCUCAUUUCUUCCUACUUGCUAAUUUAAAAUUUGCCUAAGAAUUGUGCCCGUUGAUCCACUCCUGGCAUAAUUAACCUACCUGUCUUAAAAGGAGAAAAUUAUGACAGGUAAAACAACGAAACAGCUGUUGCUAGAGGUGAAAAGGUAGAAGAGGGAACAAGACCAGCCUGUCAAAUAGAAUCAGUUCUAGUGAGGCUUUCUGAAUUCUGCUUGUCCUUUCUUGCCAGGCUUAUGGAAACUUCCUUUGGUUUGGCUGAGAGACAAAGUUAGUGAAAUCCACAUAUGUUCAUUCUUAUCUUAGUUGGCAAUAGUGAUAGCAACAAUAAAGUAAGAAGGAUCAAUGUCGCUAAACUUCAGAUAGUAUGUUUUAGUGAUGAAUUAAUUCAGAGACAGCCAUGCCACCUUUUCAUUCUGCUAAUGCUGACUAAAAUUGUAAUACAUCAAAUUCAACACAAACACACACACAUAUCUCAUCCCCUUCACUGUAUAGCCCCCAGCACCUGC
rnacentral:lncRNA from 10 species